rnacentral:rRNA from 1 species
CCUACGGGGGGCAGCAGAGAGGAAUAUUGGUCAAUGGACGAGAGUCUGAACCAGCCAAGUAGCGUGAAGGAUGACUGCCCUAUGGGUUGUAAACUUCUUUUAUAUGGGAAUAAAAUGUUCCACGUGUGGGAUUUUGUAUGUACCAUAUGAAUAAGGAUCGGCUAACUCCGUGCCAGCAGCCGCGGUAAUACGGAGGAUCCGAGCGUUAUCCGGAUUUAUUGGGUUUAAAGGGAGCGUAGGUGGAUUGUUAAGUCAGUUGUGAAAGUUUGCGGCUCAACCGUAAAAUUGCAGUUGAAACUGGCAGUCUUGAGUACAGUAGAGGUGGGCGGAAUUCGUGGUGUAGCGGUGAAAUGCUUAGAUAUCACGAAGAACUCCGAUUGCGAAGGCAGUUCACUGGACUGCAACUGACACUGAGGCUCGAAAGUGUGGGUAUCAAACAGGAUUAGAUACCCUUGUAGUC